GUGCCAGCCGCCGCGGUAAUACGGAGGGUGCAAGCGUUAAUCGGAAUUACUGGGCGUAAAGCGCACGUAGGCGGUUCGUUAAGCCAGCUGUGAAAUCCCCGGGCUCAACCUGGGAAUUGCAGUUGGAACUGGCGGGCUAGAGUACAGUAGAGGGGUGUGGAAUUUCAGGUGUAGCGGUGAAAUGCGUAGAUAUCUGAAGGAACAUCAGUGGCGAAGGCGACACCCUGGACUGAUACUGACGCUGAGGUGCGAAAGCGUGGGGAGCAAACAGGAUUAGAUACCCUAGUAGUCC
rnacentral:rRNA from 1 species